rnacentral:rRNA from 1 species
UACGUAGGGGGCAAGCGUUGUCCGGAUUUACUGGGCGUAAAGAGCGUGUAGGCGGCCACGCAGGUCCGUUGUGAAAACUGGAGGCUCAACCUUCAGACGUCGACGGAAACCGUAUGGCUAGAGUCCGGAAGAGGAGAGUGGAAUUCCUGGUGGUAGCGGUGAAAUGCGCAGAUAUCAGGAGGAACACCGGUGGCGAAGGCGGAUCUCUGGGCCAUUACUGACGCUGAGGAGCGAAGCGUGGGAGCGAACAGG